ACUGCACAUUUUCUCCACUCUAUUCACAUAAGGAAGUGAUAGUAAUGCACAUACAUGGUUGCUGUGUAUUGUUCAGCGUCGCCAUUUCAGUAAGUCAAGUUUCACUAACACAGCAGCCGCACUGCCAUGAACUUAAGGGCUUUGAGCUUCCACAAACAGCUUUACUGAGCGCCAGUUUAUGAUACAUGGACCAGCUCAGCUGCCUUCUGCCCACUUUCGUUUCUAAGGACUGUCUGGAGUCCUGGCAGCUGAUUGGCUCUGGUGGAUUUGGACAAAUCCAUAGGGCAAAACAUACAAAAUGGGGGAUGGACGUUGCCAUAAAAUUAUUACAUUAUAACGAUGGCACCGAGAGUCUCCUCCGAGAGGCAGAGUUGAUGUAUCAGGGUGGGAACCCCAAUGUGUUGAGAAUUCUAGGUGUUUACAAAGCCCAAGGUCAAGAAGGCAGUUCUGCUAUUCAAGUGGGUUUAGUAAUGGAAUACAUGGAGAGAGGAUCUCUUUCAGACCUCCAGAGGGCUUUGAAUGGACCCCCACCCUGGCCGCUUACCUUCCGUAUUAUUAACCAGAUUGCCUUGGGAAUGAACUUCCUUCACCAGAUGAAUCCACCUAUUCUGCAUCUGGACCUUAAACCCAGCAAUGUGCUACUUGAUGACAGUCUCAAUGCCAAGCUCACAGAUUUUGGUCUGGCAAAAAUAGCCAGAAGUAGUUCCAAAGUAAUUGAAGAUAAAGAUGAGGAGGCUGCUGGGACCACAAGCUACAUGCCCCCAGAGGCAUUUGGGUCAUCGCCAUAUGUUCCUAACUUUUCCACUGAUGUUUACAGCUACGGCAUACUGUUGUGGUCAGUUAUCACUGGAAGGCAGCCAUACCACUUUAACAUCUCCAGUUUGUUGCGGUUUCGUAUCCGUGAAGGUGACAGGCCUGAUCUGACAUCUCUAGACAGCAGCCAAGCAGAUGGACUCAGCAAUGUAAUUGAUCUGAUGAAGUGCUGUUGGCACUCCGAUCCCAAAAUAAGGCCUAAAUUCAUUGAUUGUAUUGAGGUCACAAAAAAUGUGUAUGAUUUGCACCGACAACACGUUCCUGAUGCUGUCCACACCACUCUGAAACAGCUGGACAACAAAGAGAAAAGCUGUUCAAGUUCCACAUCACUCAGUAGGAAAUCUCAGACAAUGAAAGGAUUGAAACAACAUACGGAGCCUACUAAGAAGACUCUGGCAACUCCUACACAGGAAAUUGGUCCCAUCCCUGCACCAAACAGAGCAGUUCCAGGAAUGUAUUGCAGUUCUGCUCCAAGAGCUCCACUCCCUGUGAGUAUGCAGCGGCAAUUUUCAAGUCCAAGUUCUGUGAACAUGUGCUUAUCCAAUGUCACAGGAGUACAGAUUGGUAACAACAACUACAUGAAUGUGACUAUAAAAAAACCUCACAUGCCACAAUCUUGUCACCUGCAACGGCUGGGAGUACUGGUGAACCAUACGACACCCUUAAUUGAGGAUAAGGACAUUUGGUACUCUGGUCAGACCACCAGUAUCAGGCUACACUGAGGAUUGGAGGCCCGGUCUCCACAGAAAGCUGAGGACACAAAGUUUUUUCCAGCACAUCAUUAUGCAGAUCUUGAGUGGCCACAGCGUGCUACUGCUAUACCGCCAUCUCGGAAGUCUAAAGGGGGUGCUGAUCCAGUGGACCUGAGCUCUCAGACAUCAGGACCUCUUGUUGGCCUGUCUAGAGAAGAUGAUGGUCCUCAGAACGUCUAACUCUAACUGAGGCUUCGACUCCUGGGGAAAGCAAUGGAUAAGCCCCUUGAAUGCUGCUGACUGCUGCUUGGCUGGUACCUGUUGACAACGAUGCUCACAGCAUUACAGAAUCUGAAAAGAAAUUAGGUGUCCAUGAGAAAGGACUUUUCUUGUCCCUAAUCACAGAGAGCUUGAGUAAGUGAAUCUCUGAGGCUACUAUGGCUGCAAUGGUGCAAACCAUCAGCUUACUGACACAGAGGGCUAAAUCUGUGGCCUGGAAGAGAUUUGCCACAGAUUUAGGGUUUAGUUCCUCGCUGAUGUACAGCUCCCUCAGCAGGUCAGCCUGGUAGGGCUACAAGGCUGCAAUCUUCCAUAGUGUUCAGAGAAGCACCAACCUGACUCACUGCUUAAACUUUACCUAGGAGUGCCGAAGCCUAAGUGGCCCUACAUUGACCCUUUUUUUAUGUUAUCUCAAGAUUUUCUUUGCCACUUUUGCCACUCAUGUAAGCAAACCACCAACUAAUGUAAAACUAAUGAUUACCUUCAUGUUGUGAAACCCAGUUGUUUUAUAUGCAUUUCUGCCUAGUACUGUAGUUACUGAAACAGUUUGCUUAAAAGCAAAAAGAAAAACUUGUUUUUUUUAAACUUUUAUUGUUAUGCUUGAUAAACAAUAAAUCACUUUUUACUGACAUAGAUGUCAGUCUAAAUAA